CCCUUAGACGUUCUGGGCCGCACGCGCGCUACACUGACGAAGGCAACGAGCUUUCCUUUACCGAAAGGUACGGGUAAUCUUUUGAAACUUCGUCGUGCUGGGGAUAGAUCCUUGCAAUUUUUGAUCUUAAACGAGGAAUGCCUAGUAAGCGCAAGUCAUCAACUUGCGUUGAUUACGUCCCUGCCCUUUGUACACACCGCCCGUCGCUACUACCGAUUGAGUGGUUUAGUGAGGCCUUCGGAUCCGCGACUCGUUUGUGGAGAAGUUGGACAAACUCAGUCAUUUAGAGGAAGUAAAAGUCGUAACA
rnacentral:rRNA from 1 species